GGUGCUGGCUCAGCGGUAGAGCACUCGCCUAGCAUGUGUGAGACCCUGAGUUCAAUCCUCAGCACCA
rnacentral:tRNA from 1 species